rnacentral:rRNA from 1 species
CCUACGGGGGGCAGCAGUGGGGAAUAUUGGACAAUGGGGGCAACCCUGAUCCAGCCAUGCCGCGUGUGUGAAGAAGGCCCUCGGGUUGUAAAGCACUUUCAGUGAGGAAGAACGCCUGGUGGUUAAUACCCAUCAGGAAAGACAUCACUCACAGAAGAAGCACCGGCUAACUCCGUGCCAGCAGCCGCGGUAAUACGGAGGGUGCGAGCGUUAAUCGGAAUUACUGGGCGUAAAGCGCGCGUAGGUGGCUUGAUAAGCCGGUUGUGAAAGCCCCGGGCUCAACCUGGGAACAGCAUCCGGAACUGUCAAGCUAGAGUGCAGGAGAGGAAGGUAGAAUUCCCGGUGUAGCGGUGAAAUGCGUAGAGAUCGGGAGGAAUACCAGUGGCGAAGGCGGCCUUCUGGACUGACACUGACACUGAGGUGCGAAAGCGUGGGUAGCAAACAGGAUUAGAUACCCUAGUAGUC